rnacentral:rRNA from 1 species
UACGGGGGGAGCAAGCGUUGUUCGGAUUUACUGGGCGUAAAGGGCGCGUAGGCGGCCACCGCAAGUCGACUGUGAAAUCUCCGGGCUUAACCCGGAAAGGUCAGCCGAUACUGCGGGGCUAGAGUGCAGAAGGGGCAACUGGAAUUCUCGGUGUAGCGGUGAAAUGCGCAGAUAUCAGGAGGAACACCGGUGGCGAAGGCGGGUCUCUGGGCCGAUACUGACGCUGAGGAGCGAGAGCGUGGGGAGCGAACAGG